UUUGUCCAGGGGGCCGCCUUCGCCACCGGUAUUCCUCCAGAUCUCUACGCAUUUCACCGCUACACCUGGAAUUCUACCCCCCUCUACAAGACUCUAGCCUGCCAGUUUCGGAUGCAGUUCCCAGGUUGAGCCCGGGGAUUUCACAUCCGACUUGACAGACCGCCUGCGUGCGCUUUACGCCCAGUAAUUCCGAUUAACGCUUGCACCCUCCGUAUUACCGCGGCUGCUGGCACGGAGUUAGCCGGUGCUUCUUCUGCGAGUAACGUCAAUUGCUGCGGUUAUUAACCACAACACCUUCCUCCUCGCUGAAAGUACUUUACAACCCGAAGGCCUUCUUCAUACACGCGGCAUGGCUGCAUCAGGCUUGCGCCCAUUGUGCAAUAUUCCCCACUGCUGCCUCCCGUAGGAGUCUGGACCGUGUCUCAGUUCCAGUGUGGCUGGUCAUCCUCUCAGACCAGCUAGGGAUCGUCGCCUAGGUGAGCCGUUACCCCACCUACUAGCUAAUCCCAUCUGGGCACAUCCGAUGGCAAGAGGCCCGAAGGUCCCCCUCUUUGGUCUUGCGACGUUAUGCGGUAUUAGCUACCGUUUCCAGUAGUUAUCCCCCUCCAUCGGGCAGUUUCCCAGACAUUACUCACCCGUCCGCCACUCGUCACCCAAGGAGCAAGCUCCUCUGUGCUACCGUUCGACUUGCAUGUGUUAGGCCUGCCGCCAGCGUUCAA
rnacentral:rRNA from 2 species